ACUCCUACGGGAGGCAGCAGUGGGGAAUAUUGCACAAUGGGCGCAAGCCUGAUGCAGCCAUGCCGCGUGUAUGAAGAAGGCCUUCGGGUUGUAAAGUACUUUCUAGCAGUGAGGAAGGUGGAGUCCGUUAAUAGCGGCCUCAUUUGACGUUAGCUGCAGAAGAAGCACCGGCUAACUCCGUGCCAGCAGCCGCGGUAAUACGGAGGGUGCGAGCGUUAAUCGGAAUUACUGGGCGUAAAGCGCAUGCAGGUGGUUUGUUAAGUCAGAUGUGAAAGCCCGGGGGCUCAACCUCGGAAUUGCAUUUGAAACUGGCAGACUAGAGUACUGUAGAGGGGGGUAGAUUUCCAGGUGUAGCGGUGAAAUGCGUAGAGAUCUGAAGGAAUACCGGUGGC
rnacentral:rRNA from 1 species